rnacentral:sRNA from 1 species
GCCGGGUGCGGUGGCGCACACCUGUAAUCCCAGCAGCUCAGGAGGCUGAGGUAGGAGGAUCUCAAGUUCAAAGCCAGCUUCAGCAAAAAAGAGGUGCUAAGCAACUCAGUGAGAGCCUGUCUCUA